GAUGAACGCUAGCGGCAGGCUUAAUACAUGCAAGUCGAGGGACAGCACAGGUAGCAAUACUGGGUGGUAACCGGUAAACGGGUGCGGAACACGUACACAACCUUCCUUUAAGUGGGGGAUAGCCCAGAGAAAUUUGGAUUAAUAACCCGUAAUAUAGUUGAAUGGCAUCAUUUGAUUAUUAUAGCAACGGCGCUUAAGGAUGGGUGUGCGGCUGAUUAGAUAGUUGGCGGGGUAACGGCCCACCAAGUCUACGAUCAGUAGCUGAUGUGAGAGCAUGAUCAGCCACACGGGCACUGAGACACGGGCCCGACUCCUACGGGAGGCAGCAGUAAGGAAUAUUGGUCAAUGGACGCAAGUCUGAACCAGCCAUGCCGCGUGAAGGAUUAAGGUCCUCUGGAUUGUAAACUUCUUUUAUUUGGGACGAAAAAGGGUCUUUCUAGACCAACUGACGGUACCAGAUGAAUAAGCACCGGCUAACUCCGUGCCAGCAGCCGCGGUAAUAC
rnacentral:rRNA from 1 species